GCGGUGUUUGCGGACUUUUGGAGCUACAGUAUUCCGAAAACUUGAAAAUUGA
rnacentral:sRNA from 1 species